rnacentral:snRNA from 1 species
GGAUGUGAGGGCGAUCUGGCUGCGACAUCUGUCACCCCAUUGAUCACCAGGGUUGAUUCAGCUGAUCUGGCUGGCUAGGCGGGGGUAUCCCCUUCCUCCCUCACUGCUCCAUGUGUGUCCCUCCCGGAGCUGCAUGCUCUGUCGAAGAGGACGACCAUCCCCUGAUAGAGGAGGACGAGUCUUUGGUCAAGGGUACAUGAGUAGCCGCACUCCCCUGCUAGAAAAAUAAGGCCCUAACCCUGUCCUGCCUUGCCCCAAGGCUACUAUGAUGAUCUAAUGGGAUAAGAGCUCUACUCCCUUAACCCCGGUUUUAGCAUUUAACAUGUUUUAUCCUAUU